GGGCCGUUGGCGCAGUUGGUAGCGCGUCUGCAUGGCAUGCAGAAGGUCACCGGUUCAAAUCCGGUACGGUCCA
rnacentral:tRNA from 1 species